UGGGGAAUUUUGGACAAUGGGCGCAAGCCUGAUCCAGCCAUGCCGCGUGCAGGAUGAAGGCCUUCGGGUUGUAAACUGCUUUUGUACGGAACGAAAAGGUGCCUUCUAAUAAAGGGCGCUCGUGACGGUACCGUAAGAAUAAGCACCGGCUAACUACGUGCCAGCAGCCGCGGUAAUACGAAGGAUGCAAGCGUUAUCCGGAAUUAUUGGGUUUAAAGGGUGCGUAGGCGGACUAAUAAGUCAGUGGUGAAAGCCUGCAGCUUAACUGCAGAAUUGCCAUUGAUGCUGUUAGUCUUGAGUACAGUUGAGGUAGGCGGAAUGUGUCAUGUAGCGGUGAAAUGCUUAGAUAUGACACAGAACACCGAUUGCGAAGGCAGCUUGCUAAGCUGUAACUGACGCUGAGGCACGAAAGCGUGGGGAGCAAACA
rnacentral:rRNA from 1 species